UGGAUCCAGACUUUGAUCCUGGCUCAGGAUGAACGCUGGCGGCGUGCCUAACACAUGCAAGUCGAGCGAGAAUCACAGGACGGAAUCCUUCGGGAUGAAGACUUGUGAGGAGAGCGGCGGACGGGUGAGUAACGCGUGAGUAACCUGCCCUUGAGAGGAGGAUAACACACCGAAAGGUGUGCUAAUACUGCAUAACAUACAUUAGCCGCAUGACUGAUGUAUCAAAGAUUUAUCGCUCAAGGAUGGACUCGCGUCCGAUUAGAUAGUUGGCGGGGUAACGGCCCACCAAGUCGACGAUCGGUAGCCGAACUGAGAGGUUGAUCGGCCACAUUGGGACUGAGACACGGCCCAGACUCCUACGGGAGGCAGCAGUGGGGAAUAUUGCGCAAUGGGGGAAACCCUGACGCAGCAACGCCGCGUGAAGGAUGAAGGUCUUCGGAUUGUAAACUUUUGUCUUAUGGGACGAAAAAGGACGGUACCAUAGGAGGAAGCCACGGCUAACUACGUGCCAGCAGCCGCGGUAAUACGUAGGUGGCAAGCGUUAUCCGGAUUUACUGGGUGUAAAGGGCGUGUAGGCGGGACGGCAAGUCAGAUGUGAAAUACCGAGGCUUAACUUCGGGGCUGCAUUUGAAACUACCGUUCUUGAGUGUCGGAGAGGAAAGCGGAAUUCCCAGUGUAGCGGUGAAAUGCGUAGAUAUUGGGAGGAACACCAGUGGCGAAGGCGGCUUUCUGGACGAUAACUGACGCUGAGGCGCGAAAGCGUGGGUAGCAAACAGGAUUAGAUACCCUGGUAGUCCACGCCGUAAACGAUGAGUACUAGGUGUAGGAGGUAUCGACCCCUUCUGUGCCGCAGUUAACACAAUAAGUACUCCACCUGGGAAGUACGAUCGCAAGAUUGCAACUCAAAUGAAUUGACGGA
rnacentral:rRNA from 1 species